ensembl:rRNA 5S_rRNA 5S ribosomal RNA
GUCUACAGCCAUAUACCCUGAAUGUGCUCGAUCUCAUAUGAUCUUGGAAGCUUAAGCAGGGUUGGGCAUGGUUAGUACUUGGAUGGGAGGAAAACCAAAAAGUUGCUUGAAGACU